GCUGGGCAUGCUGGAGUGUGCCUGCAGUCCCAGACACUUGGGAGGCUGAGGCAGGAGGAUCACUUGAGCCCAGGAGUUCUGGGCUGUAGUACACUAUGCCAAUCAGGUUUCCACACUAAGUUUGGCAUCAAUAUGGUGACCUUCUGGAGCGGGAGACCACCAGGUUGCCUAAGGAAAUGUAAAUCAGCCCAGGUUGGAAAUGCAGCAUGUCAGAAACUCCCAUGCUGAUCAGCAGUGGGAUCACUCGCACUCCAGCCUGGGCAACACAGCAAAACCCUGUCUCU
rnacentral:SRP_RNA from 1 species